GGAUGUUCCCAUGGGUUUUUCAGUUAUAUGAGCCCAUACAUCCCUUUUUGCUUCUGCCAUUUGGAGUUGCAAUUUCUGUGCUUUGCAAUUGAAAAAAAAUUCAGAUAGGAAAAGUUACCAAAACUUUCCAUCUGACUGUGGCUGAGCAGUUAGGGCCAUGAACACUCCUGCAUGAGAAUCCUGCAUGUUUGGACACAUUUUGGCACAUCUACAGGAGGAGCAUGAGUCAACGGCUGCCUGUCUUAGAGCUGAGGCACUUGCUGCCUUGACCAUCACCAAGGCUGCUAUUGCUUAUAGACCCUGGCAGCCCCAGUCUCUCCAACUGUAAACAGCUCCAGUCAAAACAAGAGAAGGGAUCCUGGGAAAGGGUUCAGGAAUCCUGCUACAAGUCAACUGCUAGGUUUUGAAGGGAAGGUGAGGGUUAAAGAAAGAUACAGAGAGAGAGAAAGUGGCAGCUCUACAGCAAAUGUAGGCUUUAUGUCCAACAUAAGACCUCCAGAGGUGGAGGACCAGCCUAAUGCCAGUGCCCACUACUGCUUACAGGCUGGGGUACUUAUAGGUAUGGGCAGGAGGGGUCUGGGCAGUAUGACUGGCUGCCCAGGAUGAUAUUGAUAAGACACGCCCAUGAUGAGGCAGUUUGGCCUUUGUUCCCACGGAAUGUGAUGUUCCUUGCACUUCCUCCCAGCUGGGUGUGAUAAGGACGUUCCUGUGCCUUGUGGUCAGGUGGUUGGGCAGGAUGCGUCUCACACCCCGAAUCCCCGUGGAAUGUUUCACUUGACCAAGGUCUAUGAAAUGGCAGAGGGUGGGGGUGGGGUUACAAAAUGAUGCAGUUUGGUCUAACACAAAGAACCACUAAAGAACUUACCAAAGGGUAGAUCAUCUCAAGCGAAACUAUACCAGGUAAUGUUUUCUUUAGCACCAUUCCAUGUUCUCUUAGCGUCUUCUUGACCCUAAAGUAACCAAUGCUCACUCUCGCUCUCUUUCUCCCUCUGUUUCUCUCCCUCCGUCUCUCUCUCUGUUUAACUCUCUUACCAAAACAACUUUCAACUAGUAAACGGAUAGGAAAGGAUCUUAUUAACCCACAGGAGUCAGGUUCACCAGUUUUUUAACCAGAUAGAUCUGGAUUUGAAUUCCAGGCUCACCCCUUACUAGAUGUGCAUGUAUAAAUAAGCAACUUAAAUGCUCUGAAUCUCAGUUUGCUUAUUUUUAAAAUACAUGCUUUGCUGAGUUAUCAUAGGGAGAUGAGAUAAGGCAUAUAGUGGUUAGGUGUAAGACUAUCAUCAAACCAUAAAAAUAAUAUUACGGACAUAACAUUAAUAUAGUUUUAGCCUCCUGGAGGUGUUUGCAUUUUCAUAACGAGCAAUUCCUUUCUUAACCCAACAUUAGGAACUGUAAUGUCAGAAUUUCAGCCUCGGUGACAGACCUGUUGCUAAGUUUAUAUCUGACAGAUGGCUACUUAAAGAAGGUGUUCAAGAGCCCUACACAGUCCUUAGACAAUGACACUGAGAAUCAGAAACUCAGGCCAUAUAUGUGGAAAAAAAAAAAAAA
ensembl:lncRNA